rnacentral:lncRNA from 1 species
GUCAAGUCUUGCCUUAGGGAGGGAUAAAUUGUGCUUUGUAAGAAAUAUCACUCUUAUUCAAACUAAAAAUUCUCUGGAACUGACACUAUCCAGACGCUUAAUUUCUUGUUUGAAAACAUAUUUGUUACUUUUGGAGGAAGUGUUUUCCAACAAACAAUGGACAUUCUCAUUGGAACAAACUGUGCUUGUUUGCACUAUAUCGAUCUAAAUCUGUCGAAUAGCAGUAUACUAUUGUUGCCGUUAUUAACAUCUAGAAAAUGACAAAAAGGGUCGGUUGAAAAAAAAAACUUGACGAUUAAAAGGGAUGAUUUCAGCUUCCCUAUUGUGAACUUUCCAUUUCUAUAAGCAAUAUUGAAGCAGUACCUGUAUACGGAAUAUAUAUCUCCC